CCGCGUCCCCGCGAGACCCAGCCGCAACGCAACCCAACCCAACCCAACCCCGCCCUCGCGGCCUCGCCUCGUCGUCUUCCUCGCCUCGCCUCGCUGCCCCUAGCCUAGGCGUGCGCUACCAGCCAGCACAGGUGGUGAUCUCAUCAUCCCCCGCCCGCCCGCGCGCGCGUUCGCGCUCCCCCGCCCCCACCACCCCAGAUCCCGAGGCCCCGCUCCGCCGCCCGCGGGAUCGCGGGCCCCGACACAAGAUUUUGCUUAAUGCUACUUUAUGCGUGUGUGGAUAAUGGAGUAAUCACUGCUCUGUGUAUCUGAGCUCACACCAUGGGUAGCAGUGGCGCAGACGCACCGACUAAGACAAGCAAGGCAUCUGCACCUCAGGAGCAACAGCCACCUGCUAGUUCAAGCACUGCAACACCGGCUGUUUACCCAGAUUGGGCCAACUUUCAGCAGGGAUAUCCUCCAAUUCCACCACAUGGCUUCUUUCCAUCACCUGUGGCGUCAAGCCCACAGGGUCAUCCUUACAUGUGGGGAGCUCAGCCUAUGAUACCACCAUAUGGAACCCCACCACCACCAUAUGUCAUGUAUCCUCCAGGAGUAUAUGCUCACCCAUCUAUGCCUCCGGGCGCACACCCAUUUACUCCAUAUGCCAUGGCCUCUCCAAAUGGCAAUGCUGAUCCUACUGGAACUACAACUACUGCUGCUGCUGCUGCUGCUGGUGAGACGGAUGGCAAAUCCUCUGAAGGAAAAGAAAAAAGUCCCAUUAAAAGAUCUAAAGGAAGUUUAGGUAGCUUGAAUAUGAUUACAGGGAAGAACUCUACUGAACAUGGUAAAACCUCUGGGGCAUCAGCUAAUGGAGCCAUUUCUCAAAGUGGGGAAAGUGGAAGUGAAAGUUCUAGUGAAGGAAGUGAAGCAAAUUCUCAGAAUGAUUCACAUCACAAGGAAAGUGGACAAGAGCAAGAUGGAGAGGUUCGAAGUUCCCAGAAUGGUGUAUCACGUUCACCAUCCCAGGCAAAGUUGAAUCAAACUAUGGCAAUCAUGCCAAUGACAUCAAGUGGUCCAGUACCUGCUCCAACUACAAACUUGAACAUAGGAAUGGACUACUGGGCCAACACAGCUAGCUCCACUCCAGCAAUACAUGGUAAAGCAACCCCAACUGCAGCUCCAGGGUCUAUGGUUCCAGGAGAGCAGUGGGUGCAGGAUGAACGGGAACUCAAAAGGCAGAGAAGAAAACAAUCCAACAGGGAGUCUGCUCGCAGAUCUAGGUUGCGUAAGCAGGCUGAAUGUGAGGAGUUGGCUCAACGUGCUGAAGUUUUAAAGCAAGAAAAUACUUCACUUAGAGAUGAAGUGAACCGGAUCAGAAAGGAGUAUGAUGAGCUUCUAUCAAAGAAUAGCUCAUUAAAGGAAAAACUUGAGGACAAACAACACAAAACUGAUGAGGCAGGAGUUGACAAUAAGCUGCAACAUUCUGGUGAUGACAGCCAGAAAAAAGGAAACUAAUUGAGCUAUCGUGCAAUGCUCCUGAGCAUAACCCUAACUAGAUUAUUGGCAGGCGCAACUGUAGAAGACAGUUCUGGGGUUAAAUUUCUCAUACAAGAGCUGUGCAUAGAGCCAUACACCAUAGGUAUGGAUGUUCCACAGUUUAAUUUGGGCUGGCCAACACAUUGAUCUUCAGCAAAUGCAUGGGAAGCUGCUGAAGGCUGGCAAAUUUGGGUUGAUGCUGCUCCAGGUUGCAGGGAUGGACUUGUGGCAGAACUCAUGUUGGGAGAGGUUAGCGAAGACGUCUCCAAGGACCGGUUUGCCCCUGAAGCUGGUCCAGGUGCUGCAGUUGCUGGAGCAAGGUGGCCAGGGCAAGCUGACCCUUUUCCUCUUGGUACUAUUGGCCUUAUAACUCCAUUGAUUCCAUGGCACCUGAACAAAUCUCCUACGCGGCAGACGUCAGGACUGAUGAGCUCAAUAUUGUUGAAGUAGAUCUUCUGGUGCUUCACAUUGGUUAUUGUGAUUGUCUGGCU